CUACCUGAAAAUCAGAUUAGACUGCACCAAUCAUGAAAACAUAUCCCGUUCCCGUCACAUUUUCGAAAUAGGGAUGUGAUCCCACUUCCAAUUUUGGAAAAGAAUCACCUAGAAUCGGGCUGAAUCGGGGAUCCAUUCAAGCAAAUCCCUUCCAAGUUUUACUCUGCCCCUCUCCUGUCUCCUCUCCUGGCCGCAUCUCGGUCGCUCACGAGCCUCUCCUGUUCGCGAGUCGCGACUCCCUCUCGGUUGACGCUCGCUUUCUCAUUUGUUGCUCUCUCCGUCUCUCUCGUUCACCAGCUGCUCCAAUUCAUUUUCGUCUCGGACAACAAUCAUAGAGAGUUGCUCCUGUUGUCUGGUCAGUUGUUGAUUUGCUUCUGUGGAAAGGAUUGGAGGGGCUACGGUGCUUGUUGCUGCUACUGCGCUUUGGUUCAUCAAGACAUCUCCUUUGGAUUGUGGUCAACGUGCUGUUCGUUCGAGUUCUUCCUGGUGUAGUUUGUAUAGCAAAACUAUAUACCUUAUGUUUAGCCUAAAUAAUGAAAAAAAGAAGAAGAAAAAAAUAGGUUCGAGGUAGAUUUUGGAAGUAGAUUAGAAAAACAGGAUAGGCUUCGGGGUAGGGUUUGUUAGGUAGAUGUAGAUUCCAGACCACCCUGGCUUCGAUCCCCAAUCCUAUUUGGAUUAUCAAACACGAUCUUAGUUCAUAUUCAAAAUGAAUUCUUAAACAUCAUAUUCUUCGAUACUCACAACAGAUUUUGCCUCGUCUCUAGGGCCACCACAAAAUAGUCGUCAUCACAUAGCUGGGCGCUGGGGUUUCAUUCUAUCGAACAAGGGUUGAUUUUUAUUAUUUAGGACCAAAAAAACAUUCAGCAAAACGUUGUAAGCCUUUAUACAUUAAUGUUGUUCCUGGAAUCGACAUCUACAAAUUUGGGUCUUCCAAAAUUUCAAGUGGCCUUUUAAAGCCAAAUCAGUGUCAGAUCUCCCCAUAAACAAUAAAAAUGGAGGAUGAGAUCCUAAAACCAUACAACAUGAAGAGUGUAUUCACACAAAUUAACCAUAGAUGAGAGGAGAAAAUGGCAGCCGCCAGAUAUUUUGUGAGCUUAAAUUUGUAGAUGUCAAUAUCAGGUACAACAAUAUUGUACAAAGGUUCUGAAUGCUUUUCAUCCUCAAUAAUACAAUAUCAACUCUUGUUCAGUUGCCUGAAACCUGAACCCAGAGACAAUGGUUAUUUUGUGGUGGAACUAGAGAUGAAGCGAAAUCUGUUGUGCGAUCAUCGAAGAAGAAAUGUUGGAGAAUUCAUUCUGAAUAUUAACAAGAUGAUAAGAUGUUCGGAGAGAUUGAAUAUUGAAGAAUGAGGAAGGAGAAGCUUGUAACUUCAAAUGUGAGCUAUUACUUUUGUGAUGGUAAUUGGUUGUACUUUGAUUUGUUGACAAGUUUAUACAAUUGAUGAAUUCACUUCUCUCUC